GUAAAUAUAGUUAUAGUAUAUAUAGGCAUUGGAGUUCUCUUCCUUCCUUUGUUGGGAUAACACAAGGCCAAUAGGUGAAAAGGACACCCCGAGGGGAAUGUUAUGAAUGUAUAUCGACAUUCAGAGUGAAGUAUAUUGCUAACACAUAGUUACAUCGUCUUGGCCUCCCUAUCCCUGGAAGGCAAUUUUUCUAAGUUAUGUUAUUGUUGUUAUAUUUAAUUUGUUGUUUUCUUUUUUCUUUGGGAAUCAUUGUUGUGUUUGUGUGAAAAAAAAAACAACAACAAUCAAAAUGUAAAAAAAAAAUACUUUGAUAAGAAACAAGAAAAAAAAAAGCUUAUAUAAGUGGAAGAACUGCACAUUGACAGCCACCUCUCUCAGUAAUCCGGACAUGUCCAUCUGAUGAUGUGCUGGCCAGGUGCUCAGCAUUUUGAGAAAAACUUAGGUGAAGGACACUUGGAUAGUCUCUCUGGACCCUGACAAUGUCUUGGCACAAGCUGGACAUUGAGAUCUCAUGGAAAGGUGCCAGAUCUUGACUACUGUAGACAGUGAUGUUAAAGUUGUGGAAGCCAGCAGCAAUCAAGCAGCCAUCGUGGCUGUAAAUAAGACAAUCUACUAAAUCCACAGUUUGUGUUGAGCAAAGUUGAUCUGCAGUAGGAAUGUGAAUAGUAUAAAUGAAGUUAUCUUUGGUGGCAAGGGAAAGAACUUCUGAUGGAAAACGAGGGUCAUAGUCAAAAGAUUCGGCGGAAGAUAGUCUUUGUUCAAUCAUAUCAGGACAGAUGAUGCACACUUUUUCAAGUCUACAACGUUUGACUACAAACAAAAUUCCUGUUGAUAUACUCACAGCUAUUUGCUUUGAAUUGGGUGAGAACUUGCAAGCUACACAGUCAUUUCCAGUUUUUAAAGGGACAAAUUCUUUGCAAAUUUGAUUGCAACGGAUGGUGUCAUGGAUCAUCAUGGUCGAGUCAAGAUGGUGAUGCUCCAGAAAGAACACACCCAUCCCACGCUUCAAGCAAGCAAAACUAAUGCCAUUAUUGGCUACUGUGCAGUAGACAUGAACUGCAUUAGUUAAGUCCCGACUUCUGGAAUAGAGUGGAUCUCCAUUAUCUGACAUGAUAACAACUUCCCCAGUACCACAGUAGGCCACAAGCUCACCCAGGGGAUGUGGACAAACUCUUGGAAACACUGUACUGUUUGUGCGACUAUAUAUAUUGCAUUCUAAAGAAAUAGGAAAAAAAUGAGCGUAUAUUAGUUUCUUUUAAGCAAAUGAUUACUCAAGUGGGAGUAAGGUUAUGAUAUAAAUCUGACAAAUAACAGUAAAAUAACAAAGCAUUGAAAAUAGUAAGAUAAUACAGUAAGCUGCUACUGUACCAGUUAAUUUAUAAUAUACAUAUAUUUUGUUAAACUUUGCAAGUCACACUUGAUAUCCAUAAAAGUAUUCUACUUUCAAUGGCACGCUUGUACAAGUUGUCAAAAACAAAUAUUUAGAUUUAGGGCUGCACUCCACUGUCCUCAUUACCGAAGUGUUUUAACAACAUUUUAACAUUACUUUAAGCCGAAUCCAAAAUCUAGAAACAGAUGUCAAAAAGUAGAUUUCUUUAAAUCUAUUUUAAAUUCUUACCAAUUCUGUCUGGUGACCAUAGCUGAUAUAAAACUACUUUUCCAUUGGGCAUGUGUGAAACAUGAGACCAGCGUCUGUCAGGUCUGGGUUCAUAAACAGAGGAAGCAGUAAACAAACUGAUGUCUUUAAAGGGAACAAACUGAGCAUCACACCACCAAUACCAAUUGUUGCUUUGUACAAUUUGCACUAAAGAAAAAUGUAAAUGAAUUAUUUCUAUUGUAAACAGCAUGAAAACAACCUCUUAUUAUAAAAACUAAUAGCACAAAAGAGAAAUACUUUAAAAAAAAACAAAGCUUAUAUUAAGUGUAGUUGUAUCAAUUAGUUUGGAUCAGUCAUGUAAUUAAAUUUGUAAUAGAUCUAGAAUCUAGACUAACAACAAUAAAUCUGUGCAAUUACAAAUAUUUU